GUGGAUUUAAUUACUAAUCAAUUACAGAGAAUAAGAUUUCAAUAGAAAAUCGAAGCAUGAAUGCUCUAUAAGCGUUUUUCCAAAAAAUUAAGUCGGAACAAACUAGAUCAUAGGGAUGAGAGCUGCAUUUUACAAAGGCAGAGAGUUCCGGUUUACCAGAGUGCAACAUUAUAGUCUAUUCAAUCCAUAUCUACGGUCAAAUACAGAGUUGAGGGUAUCAAAUUUCUGCCUGGGAGUGUUCUUACUGAUAAUCCCCAACUAAAAAAAAAAUCAUCAGAUCCGCUCAAAUUGUCUCUACUGUUAAUUACAAAGCUGAGGGUAUCAAUCUGUCUCUACUGUUAAAUACGAAUUUGUAGUCCCAAAGUCUCUUAAAGAUACUACUGUCUCUGUUCGCACAAGAAAAAUCCCAUCAAACAAAAGAAAUCAAUAGAUACACUUAAACUAAUUUAGCUUUUAAUGUCAACCCAGUUCUUAAAGAGCGUAAAUUCAAUUCCUAAUUACAGAAAUCUCUGAGACAUCAAAAAGCUAAUGCAUAGGAGUGGCGUUGAGUUCCAAGAUCUGAGGCUUGACUGUUGCAUAGAUGGAAGCAUGAUCAGCGUCAAGAAUGUGACUAGAGUUAGGCUAGAGCUAUUAGUGUUAGACGCAACUGGUGGUGAUCAAUCAUCGAUUCAACUGAGAAAAGAAUUGAAGAGUCCCUCCAUUGUUUCCAUCAACUUCCGCACCUAGUUGCAUUACAGAACAGACCCUAUUCUAUAAAAGAAGGCAAUAAACGAGAGGAAAUUACCGUAGAUGGAAGGGGGUGAAGAUGAAGAGUCCGUAUCAAAUGCCGAGAAGCAGAUGAAGAUCCCAAGAAUAAACGGUAUUGGCUUUUGAAUUCAGCUGAUGAAGGACACGACUUAUAUUAGACGGUGAAUUCACCCUCCUUCGCCGUGCCCUUCCCAGGAAAGCGAGGGCUUGCUAGUUGCAGGGAAACUUCAAGCCGACCGAAAAAAAGUGAAUACGCGUUGCUUUUUCGCUUUUUCACUUUUGAGGUAAUCGAAGUCCAAAGAUUCUUUGGCACGAAAGGCGAGAGU
rnacentral:lncRNA from 1 species